AAUUGAAUAAACUUUUUUUUAUAGAUUUACAUUGAUGUAUGAGUAAUUGAUCCAUAUAAAUGAUUAAAAGAUUAAAUUACCUUAGGGAUAACAGCGUAAUAAUUCUUGAGAGUUCAAAUUGAAAGAAUUGAUUGCGACCUCGAUGUUGGAUUAAAAAAAAAUUAUGGUGUARAASCUAUAAGGUUAGGUCUGUUCGACCUAUAAUAUUUUACAUGAUCUGA
rnacentral:rRNA from 1 species